ACAUGUGGGUAUCUACCCUUUGGCCUGGAAUAACACGAGGAAACUUGUGCUAAUACCGGAUAAGUCUUUACGGAGAAAGCUUUAUGCACCAUUGGAUGAGCCUGCACUUGAUUAGUUUGUUGGUGGGGUAAUGGCCUACCAAGACUUUGAUCAAUAGCUGAUUUGAGAGGAUGAUCAGCCACAUUGGGACUGAGACACGGCCCAAACUCCUACGGGAGGCAGCAGUGGGGAAUCUUGCACAAUGGAGGAAACUCUGAUGCAGCGAUGCCGCGUGAGUGAAGAAGGCCCUUGGGUUGUAAAGCUCUUUCGUCGGGGAAGAAAAUGACUGUACCCGAAUAAGAAGGUCCGGCUAACUUCGUGCCAGCAGCCGCGGUAAUACGAAGGGACCUAGCGUAGUUCGGAAUUACUGGGCUUAAAGAGUUCGUAGGUGGUUGAAAAAGUUGGUGGUGAAAUCCCAGAGCUUAACUCUGGAACUGCCAUCAAAACUUUUCAGCUAGAGUUUGAUAGAGGAAAGCAGAAUUUCUAGUGUAGAGGUGAAAUUCGUAGAUAUUAGAAAGAAUACCAAUUGCGAAGGCAGCUUUCUGGAUCAUUACUGACACUGAGGAACGAAAGCAUGGGUAGCGAAGAGGAUUAGAUACCCUCGUAGUCCAUGCCGUAAACGAUGUGUGUUAGACGUUGGAAAUUUAUUUUCAGUGUCGCAGCGAAAGCGAUAAACACACCGCCUGGGGAGUACGACCGCAAGGUUAAAACUCAAAUGAAUUGACGGGGACCCGCACAAGUAGUGGAGCAUGUGGUUUAAUUCGAAGAUACGCGCAGAACCUUACCAACACUUGACAUGUUCGUCGCGACUUUAAGAGAUUAAAGUUUUCGGUUCGGCCGGACGAAACACAGGUGCUGCAUGGCUGUCGUCAGCUCGUGUCGUGAGAUGUUGGGUUAAGUCCCGCAACGAGCGCAACCCUCACUUUUAGUUGCCAUCAUUAAGUUGGGCACUCUGAAAGAACUGCCAGUGAUAAGCUGGAGGAAGGUGGGGAUGACGUCAAGUCCUCAUGGCCCUUACGUGUUGGGCUACACACGUGCUACAAUGGUAUUUACAAAAGGAAGCAAAACGGCGACGUUUAGCAAAUCCUUAAAAAAUACCUCAGUUCGGAUUGCACUCUGCAACUCGAGUGCAUGAAGCUGGAAUUACUAGUAAUCGUGGAUCAGCGUGCCACGGUGAAUGCGUUCCCGGGUCUUGUACACACCGCCCGUCACACCAUGGGAGUUGGUUCUACCUUAAGGCAAGGUUUAAAACCCUUGACCACGGUAUAGUCAGCGACUGGGGUGAAGUCGUAACAAGGUAGCCGUAGGGGAACCUGCGGCUG
rnacentral:rRNA from 1 species